rnacentral:rRNA from 1 species
CAGUCGCCGCGGUAAUACGUAGGGUGCAAGCGUUAAUCGGAAUUACUGGGCGUAAAGCGUGCGCAGGCGGUUUUGUAAGACAGAGGUGAAAUCCCCGGGCUCAACCUGGGAACUGCCUUUGUGACUGCAAGGCUAGAGUACGGCAGAGGGGGAUGGAAUUCCGCGUGUAGCAGUGAAAUGCGUAGAUAUGCGGAGGAACACCGAUGGCGAAGGCAAUCCCCUGGGCCUGUACUGACGCUCAUGCACGAAAGCGUGGGGAGCAAACAGGAUUAGAUACCCCCGUAGUCCCUGUCUCUUAUAA